rnacentral:lncRNA from 1 species
CUGGUCCUGUCAGUUAAGAAACUCAGAAGUGCUACAAGGAUGCACUGGCAAGAAAAGGAGACCAGAAAAUACAAGGUUUGGAAUUUAUUCCUUGGCUUUUCCAACUUAGAAGGAUGAAAUGCAAAAAAGGAGAUUCAGGGCUGCGAUUACAGGUAUGCACCAUCAUGUGGACAUGUCUCCUGCUGCACAGAUGGAAACACAUGUCUAGUACUGCAAAUCUGGCCUAGAACCGAAGGUUGAAAAGCUCAGAGGUCCCAGGAAUGAACCUACUACUACUGUCCAGCUCAAUGAAUUUAAUGUCAAACUGCCCUACAGAUCUGUAUCUCUCAACCAUGGCCUACUGUAGCUCUCACACCUCAUCAGAGAAGGAACUCACACUUGGUCAAGCACAGAGAAUCAGGGUCAGUGGAGUGCUCAGCCACAUAUGGAACACAUCUAUAUCACACCCCCUCUAGUAGGUCCAGGAUCACCGUCGAUGAUGGAAUGGAAGGCUCCAAGAGCCAGAGAUCAAGGCGAAGAGAGCAAAAUGCUC